rnacentral:tRNA from 1 species
GCCUGGCUCAGUCAGUAAAGCAUGUGACUUUUGAUCUCAAGGUUGUGAGUUCAAGCCCCACGUUGGGCA